rnacentral:rRNA from 1 species
AUGAGGAAGGCCAUGAAGGAAGUGGAGGGGGACAGGGACCUACUUAGGAAAGAGAAGAAGAAGCUGGAGUAUCUGAUUGCUGAUCUGCUCAAUGCUGGGCAUGGCAGCAAAGAUAAGCUGGAGAGGAUCAAGGCAAUUAUGAAUGAGUGA